GAGAGAGAGACAUGCGCGCAUAUCAAUAAGCGGAGGAAAAGAAACUAACAAGGAUUCCCCUAGUAACGGCGAGUGAAGCGGGAAGAGCUCAAAUUUGAAAUCUUAAAGGGUUUCCCUUUACGAAUUGUAGUUUAAAGAAGUGUUUUCUGUUGAGGUUUUGGUAAAAGUUCUUUGGAAUAGGACAUCAUAGAGGGUGAGAAUCCCGUAUUUGACCUUUACUUUCAACUUUGUGAUACACUUUCAAAGAGUCGGAUUGUUUGGGAAUGCAGUCCAAAAUGGGUGGUAAAUUUCACCUAAAGCUAAAUAUUGGCGAGAGACCGAUAGCGAACAAGUACCGUGAGGGGAAAGAUGAAAAGAACUUUGAAAAGAGAGUUAAACAGUACGUGAAAUUGUCAAAAGGGAAGCGUUUGACACCAGUGUUGUUUUUCUGAAAAUCAAUUAAAGAACUGUUUAUGCUAAGUUGUUUAGACUUUAUCAGCUAACUGUUUAGUUUUGAGCUUUUCUUUAAUGCACUUUUCAGCUAACAAGUCAACAUCAAUUUCUUUUGCUGUAAAAAAGCUUGAGGAAGGUGGCUUGAGAUUCGUCUUAAGUGUUUAUAGCCUCUUGCCUAUGCAGUCGGAGAGAUUGAGGUCUGCAGCGUAGAUCCUUCGGGGCUAAAUGCAUUUGUGCUAAGUUAUAGCAUUUUAUAGACAACUUGUUGACUAUGAUUUGUCUUGUAGCUUACUCGCUUAUGUUAUUUUACCUACGCUUAGGAUGUUGAGCGCAUGUCUCUCUCU
rnacentral:rRNA from 1 species